CCGAGACCGGUCGCGUACGGGGCUCGUCCAGGCGCCGCUAGCGGCGACCAGAUGCAAGAGCCCGCGCCGGCCGGCUUGGCGAAGCGUGAGGCUGCGCCAUG
rnacentral:ncRNA from 1 species